GUUUGUUCAUGGUUAAGCUACACUUUCUUCAGAAAAUGUAAAAUCUAGUUUUGUUUCAAAGUCUGGCUGUAGAAAUAUUGCUGUAUUUUCCCUAGACAGGGGAAAGACCUUUAAAACACAGCCAACACAUCUAUCAAAUGCACAGAUCCAGCUGAACCAUCAUAAUGAAUGUCAUAAGCAGGACAACUCUAGAAGCUCAGAAAUACAGUAUUUAUAGCUGCAGCUUUAAAAAAAAAAAAAAAAAAAAACAUUUAAUAAACCCCACAUGUGCUUGGGGGAAAUCACUGAAUAUCAGAGAAAUACCAAAACCUUGAAAGUUUCCAUUGCUUUCAGUGUUGGCAGUCUUUCUCUGUAGCCUACGGGCAUGUUGCCAUAUGUGGAGAUUAAAGGAAAACUGAGCCAGGUUAGAUAAAUGUGCUAUCAAAGGAAAAGUUACAAUCAAAUGAAGAAGAAAACUUGGCAAUAUUCUGUGUUUUCUGACGUUAUUUAUUCAAGUCAGUAAUUUGGGUCCCUCUGAGUUUAUAUUAGGCUGGGCCCCUACACAUGAAAUGGAAUUCACAAACUUUGCUUCCAUAAUGUGAUAUUUCAGGGCAAGUCAUGAUUUUAUCCAUCGUUAAUUGAUUGGACUGGAAAAAAGUGGGAAAAGUACAUAUCAAAAUAAAGGUAGUUGAAAAACAUGAGAUAUUUGUAAUCAUUCGAAAGGGAAAUUUGUUUUUAAAAGCAUAGAUAGCUAUUUAAUUUGUUGGAGGUGUGGAGGGUGGUGUUUGGAGAGGAGUGACUGAAACAUGUUUCUCUGGCCAUUAUGAUUUUUUGCAGGAUGAUGCUUAUGUAUAAAGGCAGCCUAAACUCAGAUUUUGGCUUUUUUUAUGUUCAGUAUGCCCAAUAAAACAAAAGGCUGUUUUUAAGAACUCACAGUAAUAAGCAGGUCUUGUUCAAUCUACUUUUUAGAUGACAACAUGAGAAAUAAAGAAGAAUUUGAAGAUACCCCUUUUUCAUUACCUGUAUGUUACAUUUAAUAGUCUAAGGUGAGCAUCAUAUUAC
ensembl:lncRNA